AAACAAGGGAAAACUGAAGCCCAGAGAAGGGUCCAGAGAGGGAAAAGCCAACGGGACACUCACCUUGGAGUCUACUAGAGUCUUUUCUGUUCAUUCCUGACUCCUUUGCUGAAGAAAAAGCCUAACAAGUCUGGAUAGUCACAGGAAAUCAUGUUGAGGUGAUGUCUCAUUAUCUUUGAGGUCUGAGGAAAAUCUUGGAGUCCUACCCAAUAUCCCCAUUCACCUCUCUGUGUGUCUUCUUGGUUUGGUGCAGUGAUUCUCA
rnacentral:lncRNA from 10 species